GUGUUGGCUUCAGCAGCACAUAUAUUAAAAUUGGAACGAUGCAGAGAAAACUAGCAUGGGCCCAGCGUAAGGAUGACAUCCAAAUUCAUGAAGUGUUCCAUAUUAAA